rnacentral:rRNA from 1 species
CACGUAGGGUGCGAGCGUUGUCCGGAAUUAUUGGGCGUAAAGAGCUCGUAGGCGGUGUGUCGCGUCGGCCGUGAAAACCUGCAGCUUAACCUGUGGGCUUGCGGUCGAUACGGGCAUCACUGGAGUUCGGCAGGGAGACUGGAAUUCCUGGUGUAGCGGUGAAAUGCGCAGAUAUCGAGGAGGAACACCGUGGCGAAGGCGGCUCACUGUCCAUUGACUGAC